UACGGGGGGGGCAAGCGUUGUUCGGAAUUACUGGGCGUAAAGGGCGCGUAGGCGGCCUACUAAGUCGGACGUGAAAUCCCUCGGCUCAACCGGGGAACUGCGUCCGAUACUGGUGGGCUCGAAUCCGGGAGAGGGAUGUGGAAUUCCAGGUGUAGCGGUGAAAUGCGUAGAUAUCUGGAGGAACACCGGUGUCGAAGGCGGCAUCCUGGACUGGUCCUGACACUCAGGAGCGAAAGCGUGGGGAGCAAACAGG
rnacentral:rRNA from 1 species